rnacentral:rRNA from 1 species
UACGAAGGGGGCGAGCGUUGUUCGGAUUUACUGGGCGUAAAGGGCGCGUAGGCUGUGCUGUAAGUCAGGCGUGAAAGCCCCGGGCUCAACCUGGGAAUUGCGCUUGAUACUGCGGCGCUGGAAGGUGGGAGAGGAUGGCGGAAUUCCCAGUGUAGAGGUGAAAUUCGUAGAUAUUGGGAAGAACACCGGUGGCGAAGGCGGCCAUCUGGCCCAUUUUUGACGCUGAGGCGCGAAAGCGUGGGGAGCAAACAGG